rnacentral:rRNA from 1 species
CAUGCAUGCUCAGUACGGCGAGUGAGCGGCAAAGCUCAAAUUUGAAAUCCUUCGGGAGUUGUAAUUUGUAGGUUGGGAGACCCCGCGGCUAGUGGCACCAAGUCCCUUGGAACAGGGCGCCUUAGAGGGUGAGAGCCCCGUAGGUACCACAACACCGUCUUGUGUCUCCUCUCCAAAGAGUCGAGUUGUUUGGGAAUGCAGCUCAAAGUGGGUGGUAAAUUCCAUCUAAAGCUAAAUACCGGCGAGAGACCGAUAGCGAACAAGUACAGUGAUGGAAAGAUGAAAAGCACUUUGAAAAGAGAGUGAAACAGUACGUGAAAUUGUUGAAAGGGAAGGGCUUGCAAGCAGACACGGCCUUCGUGCCGGGCCAGCAUCGGUUGCUAGGGGUGGAUAAGGAACAAGGAAUGUAGCUCCUCGGAGUAUUAUAGCCUUGCGCGAUACACCCACUGGCGACCGAGGCCUGCGGUAUUCUUUACCUAGGAUGCUGGCGUAAUGGUUGCAAGCCGCCCGUCUU